AGAACAAGUUCAACAAGUUCUGAGAGUUUGCUGCACUGGAGCGUAAACUGCCUGUGUUUUUACACAAGGUGCACAGACGUCAGCAAUGACCUUAGAGAAGCAACUGUUGCUGUCCAUCAAUCUGGAAAGGGUUACAAGGAUAUUCCCAACAAUUUGAAGCCCACCAUACUAAGCUCUGACUAAUGAAGGCUGAGCAGCAACAGGAGUUAAAAAGUAAACAGGAAAUGGAACUACUGGAAACAGCCGUGGCUGCGGCACACCCAGGAGGAAGGCAUGUCAAAUUAUCUCCCUACAAUAAUAUGGUUGUCACUUGGCAGCUCUGUCUAUUUGCUGACUGACAGUUCUUGGAUCAAAAUGGCAGCUCCAUAACGAGGACUGCAGACAUGACUCAUGCUGCAUCCUCUACACAAGAAAAACACUGACAGGCAUUUUCAAAGAGAGAUACCCCAAAGCUGCAACAACAGAUCUCCUCGGCAGAGAACAAAUAUAAAGAUCAGUUAUUUCCUUCC